rnacentral:lncRNA from 1 species
GUUCUCUUCAGUGAGUGGGUAUAGAUAGGGACCGUGGACUCGGGGGCCCUUUGGGGACGGGCACAGGACCCCUGAUCCGGCUGCGCGGCCUCUCCCCCAACUCUGCUCUGUUCUCCCAGCAGGUGUCCGGAGGCUGCACUGCAGCGUAGCCGCUUGGGCGGGCGGCCAGUGGCGACUACAGCAGGGACUGGCUGCCAACCCCUCCGGCUACGGGCCCCUUACCGAGCUCCCAGACUGGUCAUAUGCGGAUGGCCGCCCUGCUCCCCCAAUGAAAGGCCAGCUUCGAAGAAAAGCUGAAAGGGAGACGUUUGCAGUGAGUGGUUAGAGCAACAGCCAGGGCUACCUGGAAGGAGAACAUUUAAAUCAUAAUUUGUCUUGAGCUGUGUUGCACCUAAGCAAACAUGUACCCCUCAUACAGAGGUUUUAUUAAUAACAGCCAAAGGUUUUUUUUGUUUUUGUUUUUGUUUUUUGUGAGACGGAGUUUCGCUCUUGAUGCCCAGGCUGGAGUGCAAUGGCGCUAUCUCAGCUCACUUCAACCUACUCCCGGGUUCAAGCGAUUCUCCAGCCUCAGCCUCCUGAGUAGCUGGGAUUACACACGUGUGCCACCACACCCAGCUAACUUUGUAUUUUUAGUAGAGACAGGGUUUUUCUAUGUUGGUCAGACUGGUCUUGAACUCCCCACCUCAGGUGAUCCGCCUGCCUCAGCCUCCCAAAGUGCUGGGAUUACAGGUGUGGGCCACCAUGCCUGGCCCCAGCCAAAGGUUUUAAUAGCACUGUGAGAAGGGAGGAAGAGAGUGGGGCACUCCCAGGACAGGAACCAGUAGUAGACAUCCUGCUGCACAUUUUGCUGUCUCCCUCUGCUUCCCAAGCCAGAACUCGCUCCCACUGGGGAGUCAGCAGCGUCAUUUUCCAGAUGAAACCUCUGAAUUUGUAAGUGGAAGGAUAUAUAGUAUAGCGCUGAAGUCCCAGAUGUUAUCCACACUGUUUUCCUGUCUGUUUCAGAGACGAGUUGUACUGCUGUCACAGGAAAUGGACGCUGGAUUACAAGCAUGGCAGCUCAGGCAGCAGAAGUUGCAGGAAGAACAAAGGAAGCAGGAAAAUGCUCUUAAACCCAAAGGGGCUUCACUGAAGAGCCCACUUCCAAGUCAAUAAAAAGCAACUCCUGCCUCCCUUCC